rnacentral:misc_RNA from 1 species
GAAAUGCGAUAAGUAAUGUGAAUUGCAGAAUUCAGUGAAUCAUCGAAUCUUUGAACGCAUAUUGCGCCCGCCAGUAUUCUGGCGGGCAUGCCUGUCCGAGCGUCAUUUCAACCAUCAAGCCCCCGGGCUUGUGUUGGGGACCUGCGGCUGCCCGCAGGCCCUGAAAACCAGUGGCGGGCUCGCUGUCACACCGAGCGUGGUAGCAAUCACCUCGCUCAGGGCGUGCUGCGGGUUCCGGCCGUUAAACAGCCUUACAAAACCCAAGGUUGACCUCGGAUCAGGUAGGAAGACCCGCUGAACUUAAGC